UGACAAAACUGAUUCUCUUUCGAUCACCGAAGUUAAACUAUGUUGGGCGAUAUUAGUAUUUAGAUCGGAGACCGCUUGGGAUUACCGGGUAC